CAGUUCGGUAAAUGUUGUUCUCUGGGGUGGGCAAGCUAGCUUAUUCCCUGGAGAACAGAUCUACAACGAUGGUCAGUCCUCUCCACAGAUCCUGAUGUUUGUUGGCACGCUUGUCAAGAAAUACGCGGAUGGACUGUGCUUGUCUGGAGGCUCACCCUGUAAGUGGUACAUUAAUCCUGAUGUUCCUGAAGCAAGUGCCCUCAUGGCUAGUGCGAGAAAAGCGCAUAGUCCCAUUAAGUGGAACGAGGUUCUAUC